AGUGAACGCUGGCGGCAGGCCUAACACAUGCAAGUCGAACGGCAGCACAGAGGAGCUUGCUCCUUGGGUGGCGAGUGGCGGACGGGUGAGGAAUACAUCGGAAUCUGCCUUAUCGUGGGGGAUAACGUAGGGAAACUUACGCUAAUACCGCAUACGACCUACGGGUGAAAGCGGAGGACCGCAAGGCUUCGCGCGAUAAGAUGAGCCGAUGUCGGAUUAGCUAGUUGGCGGGGUAAUGGCCCACCAAGGCGACGAUCCGUAGCUGGUCUGAGAGGAUGAUCAGCCACACUGGAACUGAGACACGGUCCAAACUCCUACGGGAGGCAGCAGUGGGGAAUAUUGGACAAUGGGCGCAAGCCUGAUCCAGCCAUGCCGCGUGUGUGAAGAAGGCCUUCGGGUUGUAAAGCACUUUUGUCCGGAAAGAAAAGCUUCGGGUUAAUACCCCGGGGUCCUGACGGUACCGGAAGAAUAAGCACCGGCUAACUUCGUG
rnacentral:rRNA from 1 species